GAUGAACGCUGGCGGCGUGCCUAGUACAUGCAAGUCGAGCGAACAGACGAGGAGCUUGCUCCUCUGACGUUAGCGGCGGACGGGUGAGUAACACGUGGAUAACCUACCUAUAAGACUGGGAUAACUUCGGGAAACCGGAGCUAAUACCGGAUAAUAUAUUGAACCGCAUGGUUCAAUAGUGAAAGACGGUUUUGCUGUCACUUAUAGAUGGAUCCGCGCCGCAUUAGCUAGUUGGUAAGGUAACGGCUUACCAAGGCAACGAUGCGUAGCCGACCUGAGAGGGUGAUCGGCCACACUGGAACUGAGACACGGUCCAGACUCCUACGGGAGGCAGCAGUAGGGAAUCCUCCGCAAUGGGCGAAAGCCUGACGGAGCAACGCCGCGUGAGUGAUGAAGGUCUUCGGAUCGUAAAACUCUGUUAUUAGGGAAGAACAAAUGUGUAAGUAACUAUGCACGUCUUGACGGUACCUAAUCAGAAAGCCACGGCUAACUACGUG
rnacentral:rRNA from 1 species